rnacentral:rRNA from 1 species
GACGAACGCUGGCGGCGUGCUUAACACAUGCGAGUCGAACGGAAAGGCCCUUCGGGGUACUCGAGUGGCGAACGGGUGAGUAACACGUGGGUGAUCUGCCCUGCACUUUGGGAUAAGCCUGGGAAACUGGGUCUAAUACCGAAUAGGACCACGCGCUUCAUGGUGUGUGGUGGAAAGCUUUUGCGGUGUGGGAUGGGCCCGCGGCCUAUCAGCUUGUUGGUGGGGUAAUGGCCUACCAAGGCGACGACGGGUAGCCGGCCUGAGAGGGUGACCGGCCACACUGGGACUGAGAUACGGCCCAGACUCCUACGGGAGGCAGCAGUGGGGAAUAUUGCACAAUGGGCGCAAGCCUGAUGCAGCGACGCCGCGUGAGGGAUGACGGCCUUCGGGUUGUAAACCUCUUUCAAUAGGGACGAAGCGCAAGUGACGGUACCUAUAGAAGAAGCACCGGCCAACUACGUGCCAGCAGCCGCGGUAAUACGUAGGGUGCGAGCGUUGUCCGGAAUUACUGGGCGUAAAGAGCUCGUAGGUGGUUUGUCGCGUUGUUCGUGAAAACUCACAGCUUAACUGUGGGCGUGCGGGCGAUACGGGCAGACUAGAGUACUGCAGGGGAGACUGGAAUUCCUGGUGUAGCGGUGGAAUGCGCAGAUAUCAGGAGGAACACCGGUGGCGAAGGCGGGUCUCUGGGCAGUAACUGACGCUGAGGAGCGAAAGCGUGGGGAGCGAACAGGAUUAGAUACCCUGGUAGUCCACGCCGUAAACGGUGGGUACUAGGUGUGGGUUCCUUCCUUGGGAUCCGUGCCGUAGCUAACGCAUUAAGUACCCCGCCUGGGGAGUACGGCCGCAAGGCUAAAACUCAAAGGAAUUGACGGGGGCCCGCACAAGCGGCGGAGCAUGUGGAUUAAUUCGAUGCAACGCGAAGAACCUUACCUGGGUUUGACAUGCACAGGACGCCGGCAGAGAUGUCGGUUCCCUUGUGGCCUGUGUGCAGGUGGUGCAUGGCUGUCGUCAGCUCGUGUCGUGAGAUGUUGGGUUAAGUCCCGCAACGAGCGCAACCCUUGUCCUAUGUUGCCAGCGGGUUAUGCCGGGGACUCGUAGGAGACUGCCGGGGUCAACUCGGAGGAAGGUGGGGAUGACGUCAAGUCAUCAUGCCCCUUAUGUCCAGGGCUUCACACAUGCUACAAUGGCCGGUACAAAGGGCUGCGAUGCCGUGAGGUGGAGCGAAUCCUUUCAAAGCCGGUCUCAGUUCGGAUCGGGGUCUGCAACUCGACCCCGUGAAGUCGGAGUCGCUAGUAAUCGCAGAUCAGCAACGCUGCGGUGAAUACGUUCCCGGGCCU